rnacentral:lncRNA from 1 species
AAGCUUUGCUAGUUCAAAAUCCUUAUGGAUUUCAAAUUCAAGUUUUAUCUACCCCUCUUGCUCAACUUAGUUCAAAAUUGGUGAUAGAAUUGGAACUCAAACUUUUGAUUUUUGGUUUCUUUGCUUGAUUGAGUUUUAAUCUCUUUCCAAAUUUGGAAUCAAGCUUUUAAGUUGAUGACUUCUUUUGCUUCCAAAGUGGUUGGAUACUCUGUAGCUCUUUGGGCAAUCUUCAAUUACUCUUUCUUUUGCUUCAUGCUCCUUAUGCUUUUGC